GAUGUUUGUGUGUCCACAGGUGAAACACAACGGACUCAUCCAGGACAUGGACCACCCCACAGCAGGACGCAUCACUGUCCCAGGCCCCGCCGUCCGCUUCAGCAGCUUCACGCCGUCUGGACCGAUGCCCCCUCCUCUGAUUGGUCAGCACACACUGCAGGUGCUGAGAGACGUCCUCUCCUACAGUGACGACAUCAUCAAAACGUUGUUGGAGGUGAAGGCGGUUGCCCAAAAUGAAGUGUCCUAACUGGCUGGGACUCCCAGAAUGCCAUUUCAGUGAUGUCACAUGAGAGAGAGAGAAAAUGGACGAUCAAGUGACUGUUCUGAAUAAUGAGGCGCUGCUCACUAAUCCACAUUUACUAUUUAUGAUUUUUAACAAGUUUAAAUGGAAUCAUCACUCCCUUAGAACAGCAGACUCCUGAUACCUUUAAAACACUCCUUAUCCUGGUCUUUGUAAAAGGAUAUGAUUCACUCCAGAAGUGAGCCGCUGCUUUUACAAUAAAAUAAAUAAAUACACGUUUAAUGUGCUGAUCUGA